rnacentral:rRNA from 1 species
AUGUUGAGAGCUUGUGCGCUAGAUUAUGAAUUUGGUUGGGAUGAUAAUUUGCCAUACGCAGAAUUCUCAUAUAACAACAGCUAUCAAGCCAGUCUAAAGAUGGCCCCUUUUGAAGCUUUGUACGGAAGGAGGUGCAGGACACCAUUGAUGUGGGAUGAAGUUGGAGACCGUAAAUUAUUUGGACCAGAUUUAAUUAGAGAUUCAGAGGAGAAAGUCAAGCUGAUCCGCGACAGACUCAAGGUAGCCCAAUCCAGACAGAAGAGUUAUGCCGAUACUAAACGCAAGGAGGUAACCUAUGAAGUCGGAGAUAGAGCAUAUCUGCGUGUGUCGCCAAUUCGAGGAGUUAAACGAUUCGGAGUCAAAGGAAAGUUAGCACCACGGUUUGUGGGACCGUACAGAGUUUUAGAACGCAUGGGUGAAGUUGCCUACAAGUUGGAAUUACCAGAAGCCUUGUCAGGAGUUCAUGAUGUGUUUCACGUUUCCCAGUUGAAGAAGUGUCAUGCGGAGAUGGCCGAUAUUCCUUUGAGAGAUACAGUGCCACUGGAGGCCAUACAGUUGGAUAGUGAUCUGACCUAUGAGGAGAAGCCCAUCAAGAUUCUAGAGACUGCAAGCAGGGUUACCCGCAGCAAGGUCAUCAAGUUUUGCAAGGUUCGGUGGAGUCAUCAUACUAAGGAAGAAGCCACCUGGGAACGAGAAGAAGACCUCCGACAGGACCACCCACACCUUUUUGCUAGCCAACCCGAAUCUCGAGGGCGAGAUUCAUCUUAA